ACGAGCUGUCCUCCCGCUCUCUCGUUCUCUCUUGGUUUGCCGCAGAGAAAAGCAUGUGUUUCCCAUGAAGUCUGCUAAAAGGGGGAUUGGUCCAGAGGGUUGGCAGUAAAGGGAUGGGUUGACUCAGAGUCCACGCGUGAACAAAACACAAGUGAAGACUGAGCCAUUUCUCCUGAUCUGUUCCUGAGUUUGGAAUGCAGUCUGUGAAAAAUUCUGGCACUGUGUGGUUUUACUUUUCUCAGCCAAAUACUUGGGGGCCAAUGCUGACUCCCUCACUUCAAAAAACCUUCUUUGACAUUUCAAGGAAACCUCAAAAUCAAUACAGAAGAAGUACUACACCUUCACAUGUUCAGCUUCCGCACUCCUCUGAGGAUCAGGGUGUCUCAACUUUGACAGAAUGUUUUGGUAUUCUGUAGAAUGAAGGGAGGAUGUGCAGUGCUGUUAGUGUAAUCUCCUUUUGUCGAUCUGAGUCACAAGGGAAAGCAAAUCUCAGCUAACAUUCACAGAGUAGAUGUUGGUCUUGGAAGGAGGAUCAUCUUUCUCUCUUCAUAAAACAUGCAAG
rnacentral:lncRNA from 1 species